GGGCUCUUGGCACAGGGGUAGUGUGCACACCUUGCAUGGUAGUAUGGCAACAUAGUCUGCAUAUGUGUGAGGUUGUGGGUUCAAAUCCCACAGUGUCCA
rnacentral:tRNA from 1 species